rnacentral:rRNA from 1 species
CGAGCGAACAGACGAGGAGCUUGCUCCUCUGACGUUAGCGGCGGACGGGUGAGUAACACGUGGAUAACCUACCUAUAAGACUGGGAUAACUUCGGGAAACCGGAGCUAAUACCGGAUAAUAUAUUGAACCGCAUGGUUCAAUAGUGAAAGACGGUUUUGCUGUCACUUAUAGAUGGAUCCGCGCCGCAUUAGCUAGCUGGUAAGGUAACGGCUUACCAAGGCAACGAUGCGUAGCCGACCUGAGAGGGUGAUCGGCCACACUGGAACUGAGACACGGUCCAGACUCCUACGGGAGGCAGCAGUAGGGAAUCUUCCGCAAUGGGCGAAAGCCUGACGGAGCAACGCCGCGUGAGUGAUGAAGGUCUUCGGAUCGUAAAACUCUGUUAUUAGGGAAGAACAAAUGUGUAAGUAACUAUGCACGUCUUGACGGUACCUAAUCAGAAAGCCACGGCUAACUACGUGCCAGCAGCCGCGGUAAUACGUAGGUGGCAAGCGUUAUCCGGAAUUAUUGGGCGUAAAGCGCGCGUAGGCGGUUUUUUAAGUCUGAUGUGAAAGCCCACGGCUCAACCGUGGAGGGUCAUUGGAAACUGGAAAACUUGAGUGCAGAAGAGGAAAGUGGAAUUCCAUGUGUAGCGGUGAAAUGCGCAGAGAUAUGGAGGAACACCAGUGGCGAAGGCGACUUUCUGGUCUGU